ACGUAGGGGGCUAGCGUUAUCCGGAUUUACUGGGCGUAAAGGGUGCGUAGGCGGUCUUUCAAGUCAGGAGUGAAAGGCUACGGCUCAACCGUAGUAAGCUCUUGAAACUGGGAGACUUGAGUGCAGGAGAGGAGAGUGGAAUUCCUAGUGUAGCGGUGAAAUGCGUAGAUAUUAGGAGGAACACCAGUUGCGAAGGCGGCGCUCUGGACUGUAACUGACGCUGAGGCACGAAAGCGUGGGGAGCAAACAGGAUUAGAUACCCUGGUAGUCCACGCUGUAAACGAUGAGUACUAGGUGUCGGGGGUUACCCCCUUCGGUGCCGCAGCUA
rnacentral:rRNA from 1 species